GCCAUCGCGAUGAUGAGGAGAAGUACCCGGUCUGCCGCCAUUCAGAGAGCCCCCGUUUUGGUGCGAGGGGGAGGGCGGCUCUGGUGAAAUACACCUCGGAGCAGCCGCCUGAACGCAAAAUGCUAUUAGGGCUGUGUCGGGUGCGCCCGUUACCGCGCCGGAGUGUGUUGGCACUCCAUGAGGCCGUCUCUGUGAGGAGACGGUGAACCAGAGGUGGUACCGCGUAGUAUUACGCCCUCUGU
rnacentral:ncRNA from 1 species